rnacentral:rRNA from 1 species
AGUCGAGCGGAGAUGAGGUGCUUGCACCUUAUCUUAGCGGCGGACGGGUGAGUAAUGCUUAGGAAUCUGCCUAUUAGUGGGGGACAACAUUCCGAAAGGGAUGCUAAUACCGCAUACGUCCUACGGGAGAAAGCAGGGGAUCUUCGGACCUUGCGCUAAUAGAUGAGCCUAAGUCGGAUUAGCUAGUUGGUGGGGUAAAGGCCUACCAAGGCGACGAUCUGUAGCGGGUCUGAGAGGAUGAUCCGCCACACUGGGACUGAGACACGGCCCAGACUCCUACGGGAGGCAGCAGUGGGGAAUAUUGGACAAUGGGGGGAACCCUGAUCCAGCCAUGCCGCGUGUGUGAAGAAGGCCUUAUGGUUGUAAAGCACUUUAAGCGAGGAGGAGGCUACUGAGACUAAUACUCUUGGAUAGUGGACGUUACUCGCAGAAUAAGCACCGGCUAACUCUGUGCCGCAGCCGCGGUAAUACAGAGGGUGCGAGCGUUAAUCGGAUUUACUGGGCGUAAACGUGCGUAGGCGGCUUUUUUAGUCGGAUGUGAAAUCCCCACUUAACUUGGGAAUUGCAUUCCAUACUGGGAACUAAAUAUGGGAAAAGAUGGUAGAAUUCCAGGUGUAGCGGUGAAAUGCGUAAAAUCUUGAGGAAUACCCAUUGCGAA